ACGAUCUGUCGCAAGUACCAAGUCCUCAUGUCUAAUAACAUGGAAUGUGUCAAGUAUCUCAAUGGCCUAUCCCUAUGUCAUCAUGUCUCUAACAUAGAAUAUAGCAGAUAUGUAGUGGCCUAUCAAUAUGUCUCUACGUUGCAGUUUCAUAGUUUACUAGUUUCAAGUGCCCCUUGAUGACACUCUUGUUCUCUAUGUCAAAGCAUGGCAACUAUGUUCCAAGGUACAUAUUCCAAGUCAUAAUCCUCAUAAGAGAUGUAUUUUUCACUUGCAAAAUAAACACUUUUCUCGUAUGCAUGCAUUCUACUCACAUAGCUCUACUAUAUAGCGAAAUUUUCAUAAUACACAAGGUAUGCAUUUUAAGUGUUCUAAAAUUCAUAUAAAUUCCAUUUAGUAUAGAAAUGAAUUUAAAAAUAUUUUAUAACAAGUAGAAAGAGCAUAGGGGCCAUUUCGCCCCAUCUCCAUGAAGCCAAACCCACCGAUGACAACGAAACUCCUCGUUCGCUCCCACGAGGGUGUCCUCUAGUCUCCGA
rnacentral:lncRNA from 1 species